rnacentral:rRNA from 1 species
AGUGGCGGACGGGUGAGUAACGCGUGGGCAACCUACCCCACACAGGGGGACAACAGUUGGAAACGACUGCUAAUACCGCAUAGGCGCACAGCUUCGCAUGAGGCAGUGUGGAAAACCGAGGUGGUGUGGGAUGGGCCCGCGUCUGAUUAGCUGGUUGGCGGGGUAACGGCCCACCAAGGCGACGAUCAGUAGCCGGCCUGAGAGGGUGGACGGCCACAUUGGGACUGAGACACGGCCCAAACUCCUACGGAAGGCAGCAG